UACAGAGGCCUCAACCGUUAAUCGGAAUUACUGGGCGUAAAGUGUGCGCAGGCGGCGCCGCAUGUCGAGUGUGAAAGCCCCGAGCUUAACUUGGGAAUUGCGCUCGAAACUACGGUGCUGGAGUGUGGCAGAGGAAGGUGGAAUUCCACGUGUAGCGGUGAAAUGCGUAGAGAUGUGGAGGAACACCGAUGGCGAAGGCAGCCUUCUGGGCCAACACUGACGCUCAUGCACGAAAGCGUGGGUAGCAAACAGG
rnacentral:rRNA from 1 species